GGGUGUUCACUUUCCCUCUCACUGUUCCAUCAGUGUCCCUCCCAAAGCUUUGUGCUCCACUGAAGUGGACAACCUUCCCAGAUAAAGGAGACUGCUCUUCAGUCUAAGAUUUACAAGGAGUUCAGCUCCCCUGCUAGAAACUCAAAAAAAAAAAAAAAAAAACCUCUGGAGAUCUGAAGAAACUCUCCCAAGCACUUUUCAACACACCNCCUUAAGAUGAAAAGAAGCUGAUUUGU
rnacentral:snRNA from 1 species